AGCGAUAAAGAGCAAAGGUUAAGCUCGUCGGGCUCAUGCCCCGAAGGUUAUAGGUUCGAAUCCUAUUAUCGCAC
rnacentral:tRNA from 1 species